rnacentral:rRNA from 1 species
GAACUUAAGAGUUUGAUCCUGGCUCAGAUUGAACGCUGGCGGUAUGCUUUACACAUGCAAGUCGAACGGAUUAAGGAGCUUGCUUCUUAGUUAGUGGCGAACGGGUGAGUAAUAUAUCGGAACAUAUCCGGAAGUGGGGGAUAACGUAGCGAAAGUUACGCUAAUACCGCAUAUGCCCUGAGGGGGAAAGGGGGGGAUCGCAAGACCUCUCGCUUUCGGAGUGGCCG